rnacentral:rRNA from 1 species
AUGGCGUCCCUCGCGUUGAUGCCGAGCUGGUUCCGCCGCCGCGCGCACGUCCCGUCCCCGGAGGAAGCGCGCGAGAUCGAGAGGAGGAAGAGAAAGGAAGAGUACGAUCAGCUGAUCGCUUCGCUGAGGCCGCGACCACGCACAUGGCGGAGUCGUCGGAGGGAUCGCCGGGAAGCGCUGGCUAACGAGGCCGCAAAGCGGGAGUGGGUCGAUGAGCAGAAACGGCUGAUCGCGGAGGCGAAGCAGCGAUCAGGCGGCGUCCCACAUCCCUGUUGGAACGAUGACGCGCGAGACAGACACAGACGCAGGAUGCGGGCGGCAGUGGAGGAACUAUCGGCGGCUUACGAGGCCAAGAAGAGCCAAUGGAUGGCCGCGCAUAAGCGAUCGGGGCUCGAGGAAGAUCGGCGGGGCAGCACCGCCGUGAAGGUUCACCCCCUCGUGUCCACGGAGGCGCCUUUGAAGCCCGUAACCGCCGCCGGGAAGAGCAGCGCGGCAGGGGGCAGCGAGUCCGGCCACCGGGUGGAGAUGCACGAGGCGAAGGCCAUCGAGCAGAAGCACCUGUGGGGAGGCCGCCGCCGCAGCGAUGAGUACUAUGCCAUGCGCCGGGAGGUACUGAGGAGAGACCGUGCCGCUCUCGACGAGAUUACGGAGCCGCAAUCUGCAUGCGCAACGAGGAAGAAGGAAGAAGAUCGUAUCUGUCCGUUCUGUUCUCGGCUUCUCGCAGACAGGAGAUAG